AUACGGAGGGUCCAAGCGUUAUCCGGAUUCAUUGGGUUUAAAGGGUUCGUAGGCGGAUAAAUAAGUCAGUGGUGAAAUCCCGAAGCUCAACUUCGGAACUGCCAUUGAAACUGUUUAUCUUGAAUUUAGUUGAAGUGGGCGGAAUAUGACAUGUAGCGGUGAAAUGCAUAGAUAUGUCAUGGAACACCAAUAGUGAAGACAGCUCACUAAGCUAAUAUUGACGCUGAUGAACGAAAGCAUGGGUAGCGAACAGGAGUAGAUACCCCAGUAGUCC
rnacentral:rRNA from 1 species